rnacentral:rRNA from 1 species
UACGGAGGGGGCUAGCGUUGUUCGGAAUUACUGGGCCUAAAGCGCACGUAGGCGGCUUUGUAAGUUAGAGGUGAAAGCCCGGGGCUCAACUCCGGAAUUGCCUUUAAGACUGCAUCGCUAGAAUUGUGGAGAGGUAAGUGGAAUUCCGAGUGUAGAGGUGAAAUUCGUAGAUAUUCGGAAGAACACCAGUGGCGAAGGCGACUUACUGGACACAUAUUGACGCUGAGGUGCGAAAGCGUGGGGAGCAAACAGG